AUGGAAGGCGGGAGGGGGAAAUUCAAAAUAGGCGGAGGGGGCCAGGGGAGAGAAGUUGGCAAGAGACAAAUACUCUGUGUCCAUGGAUUGCAUAAUUCUCUUCCAACGGAUUGGAUUGGCCUAGUUUUGGGAGCCAGUGGACUCCGUGUGUUGUCACUUGUCAGGGCUUAUCUUUCCUAUAGACUAGAAGUUUCCUUCUGUAUGAUUAACAACAAUCAAGGUGUCGAACCUACGGUUGACAACACCUUUGAUCAUGUGUCAGCCAUCACACAACAGUCUCUCCUGGGAAUCUAUCUACUGUGGCGCCAUGACAGUACACACCACAUCGCUUUCAAACCAACAAUAAUUUUGCCGCUUAGCACAAACGAGACCGUGUAA
rnacentral:rRNA from 1 species